rnacentral:rRNA from 1 species
AUUGAACGCUGGCGGCAUGCCUUAUACAUGCAAGUCGAACGGCCGCACGGGGGCUUGCCCCUGGUGGCGAGUGGCGCGCGGGGGAGUGAUACAUCGGGACAUGUCCUGUAUUGGGGGAUGGUACGUCGAGAGACGGGUUAAUACCACCUACGAUCUACGUGUGAAAGCGGGGGACCUUCGGGCCUCGCGCUUUGGGGUUAGUCAAAGACUGAUUAGCUAGUUGGUGGGGUAAUGGCCUACCAAGGCGACGAUCAGUAGCCGGUCUGAGAGGGCGAUCAGCCACACUGGAACUGAGACACGGUCCAGACUCCUACGGGAGGCAGCAGUAGGGAAUCUUGGGCAAUGGGCGAAAGCCUGACCCAGCAAUGCCGCGUGAGUGAAGAAGGUCUUCGGAUCGUAAAGCACUGUUGCUCGGAAAGAACAACUGGGCACUAAAAUAUUCACGUCAUGACGGUACCGGAAGAAUAAGCACCGGCUAACUACGUG